rnacentral:snoRNA from 12 species
CAGACUGUACUUCAGGGAUCAUUCUAUAGUCGUUUCUAGAGAAGUUCUCUGAAUGUGUAGAGCACUGAAACCACGAGGAGGAGGUGUGGUGUCUGUCUGAGCAUGAAGCUGGUUAUUGGUGUUGCUUCUGCAGCUGCCAUUAGCCAUUGAUGAUCGCUCUUCUCUUCUUUCGGGAGAGUGAGAGGGAGAGAAUGCCAUCUGAGUAAA